CCUACGGGUGGCAGCAGUGGGGGAUAUUGCACAAUGGGGGAAACCCUGAUGCAGCGACGCCGCGUGUGGGAAGACGGUCUUCUGGAUUGUAAACCACUGUCCCCAGGGACGAAAAUGACGGUACCUGGGGAGGAAGCUCCGACUAACUACGUGCCAGCAGCCUCGGUAAUACGUAGGGAGCAAGCGUUGUCCGGACUUACGGGGUGUAAAGGGAGCGUAGGCGGGGAUGCAAGUUGGGUGUCAAAACUACCGGCUCAACCGAUAGUCGCACUCAAAACUGCAACUGUUGAGUGAAGUAGAGGCAGGCGGAAUUACUAGUGUAGCGGUGAAAUGCGUAGAUAUUAGGAGGAACACCAGUGGCGAAGGCGGCCUGCUGGGCUUUUACUGACGCUGAGGCUCGAAAGUGUGGGGAGCAAACAGGAUUAGAUACCCCAGUAGUC
rnacentral:rRNA from 1 species